GUCCCAGACUCCUACGGGAGGCAGCAGUCGGGAAUAUUGCGCAAUGGAGGAAACUCUGACGCAGGGACGCCGCGUGCAGGAAGAAGGUUUUCGGAUUGUAAACUGCUUUAGACAGGGAAGAAACAAGACAGUACCUGUAGAAUAAGCUCCGGCUAACUACGUGCCAGCAGCCGCGGUAAUACGUAGGGGGCAAGCGUUAUCCGGAUUUACUGGGUGUAAAGGGAGCGUAGACGGCAGCGCAAGUCUGAAGUGAAAUCCCAUGGCUUAACCAUGGAACUGCUUUGGAAACUGUGCAGCUGGAGUGCAGGAGAGGUAAGCGGAAUUCCUAGUGUAGCGGUGAAAUGCGUAGAUAUUAGGAGGAACACCAGUGGCGAAGGCGGCUUACUGGACUGUAACUGACGUUGAGGCUCGAAAGCGUGGGGAGCAAACAGGAUUAGAUACCCUCGUAA
rnacentral:rRNA from 1 species